ACUCCUACGGGAGGCAGCAGUGGGGAAUAUUGCACAAUGGGCGCAAGCCUGAUGCAGCCAUGCCGCGUGUAUGAAGAAGGCCUUCGGGUUGUAAAGUACUUUCAGCAGUGAGGAAGGUGGGUAUGUUAAUAGCAUACUCAUUUGACGUUAGCUGCAGAAGAAGCACCGGCUAACUCCGUGCCAGCAGCCGCGGUAAUACGGAGGGUGCGAGCGUUAAUCGGAAUUACUGGGCGUAAAGCGCAUGCAGGUGGUUUGUUAAGUCAGAUGUGAAAGCCCGGGGCUCAACCUCGGAAUUGCAUUUGAAACUGGCAAACUAGAGUACUGUAGAGGGGGGUAGAAUUUCAGGUGUAGCGGUGAAAUGCGUAAGAGAUCUGAAGGAAUACCGGUGGCGAAGGCGGCCCCCUGGACAGAUACUGACACUCAGAUGCGAAAGCUGGGGGAGCAAACAGGAUUAGAUACCCUGGUAGGCUCGC
rnacentral:rRNA from 1 species